UACGGAGGAUGCGAGCGUUAUCCGGAUUUAUUGGGUUUAAAGGGUGCGUAGGCGGGCUUUUAAGUCAGCGGUAAAAAUUCGGGGCUCAACCCCGUCCGGCCGUUGAAACUGGGGGCCUUGAGUGGGCGAGAAGAAGGCGGAAUGCGUGGUGUAGCGGUGAAAUGCAUAGAUAUCACGCGGAACCCCGAUUGCGAAGGCAGCCUUCCGGCGCCCUACUGACGCUGAGGCACGAAAGUGCGGGGAUCGAACAGG
rnacentral:rRNA from 1 species